rnacentral:lncRNA from 1 species
CUACUUUUCAUGAUGGUGAGUCUAAAUAUGUAUUUUCUCUUUUUCGGGCUGAGUAUUCCAUGUCUCUCUUCCAAGCACCAUCUUCAUGCAUGUUGUGUCUGUGUCACGUAUUGUUUUUCUUAUACUCACACUAACUUCUUUCAUCAAUAGAAUAAUAGAUUUACAUAUUUGAGACCAAAAAAAACUUUUAUCCGAGCACACCGAACUCUCAUAGACACGACUCUGAACUGGUGAACCCUGUCGGUCACAAUCGUUGAAUAUUUUGAUAAUUUGGCUGAAUUAUUUACUCCAACUUCUUUCAAUAGAAUAGUACACAAACUCUACGUGUUCGAGAAAGAAAAUCUCUAUCCGAGCACUUCAAACUUUCGUAGAUGUGACUCUGAACUGGUGAGCCCUGUCGGUCACAAUNN